rnacentral:rRNA from 1 species
GAGUUUUGAUCCUGGCUCAGGAUGAACGCUAGCUACAGGCUUAACACAUGCAAGUCGAGGGGAGACGACAUCGAAAGCUUGCUUUUUGAUGGGCGUCGACCGGCGCACGGGUGAGUAACGCGUAUCCAACCUGCCCACCACUUGGGGAUAACCUUGCGAAAGUAAGACUAAUACCCAAUGAUAUCUCUAGAAGACAUCUGAAAGAGAUUAAAGAUUUAUCGGUGAUGGAUGGGGAUGCGUCUGAUUAGCUUGUUGGCGGGGUAACGGCCCACCAAGGCAACGAUCAGUAGGGGUUCUGAGAGGAAGGUCCCCCACAUUGGAACUGAGACACGGUCCAAACUCCUACGGGAGGCGCA